GGUUCUGUAGUGCAGUGGCUUAUCACUGGAGAUUAUGAUGAAUUUAGGAUUUCUGCUUUCCUUUCUCGUAACCCCGGUUCGAACCCGGGCAGGACCU